ensembl:lncRNA
CAGACAACGUCUGUACAGCUCACCACAAGUUUUGCUUUGGAGUACGGCAGCACGCUAUCUUCAUUUUCGUGGACUUGUUUCUCAUUUUUUUAAUUUAACGUCUGCCACAGCUCGUCUUCAGUUACUACGGGUGCUGAUCUAGCAGUGUGUGGACCUCAGCGGACCCCAGAAACGUAUAGAUCUGCCACUGAACAGCUGGAAAGAGAAGACGUGUCAGAAGUUCAGGGGAUAAAGUUCAGAUAUGGCUGAAUCGCAGGUGCUUAUCUUAAAGAACAUAGGGGAUGCAAUUGCAGGAGUGCUUCCAGACCUUCCUGAUCAACUUCUCAAGUCGGUAGAAGAUACUUUGAAAAAAACUUGGUGCAGAAACCACAGAUGAUUUAAAGUACAUUACAGAAAAUGACCUGCUGCUAGUGCUCAAGCCCAUACAAUCCAGAAGACUAGUGGUGCCUGGACCCAAAAUGGUAAGUGUAAAACAUUACCACCACACCAAACGCACAGAGGGCUGUUGAAGUUGGAAAUAGUUAGAAUAUGAGUGUUCCUGAGUUUGAUGAUGUGACCAUCAUUAUUUAACCAUGCUUUCUGUGUAAAUAAAACUUGGAUGCUUUGUGGGGAAGUUUAAUACAUUUUGAGUUUUGAAAUGCAAUCUAUUAGACAAAUUGCAUUAUUAAAUUUUGACCAUGCUCUGUAACCUUAAUAUCUCAAAAUGUAUCUAUGCAGUGCAGAAUUUAACAUAACAGCAAACAUGAUUUCAUGCUUUCAUCUCUUUUAUAUGUACUUUUAAAAUCUGGCACUUCGACACCAAUCGCUGUACAUUCCUCUCCAGUGGAUGUCCUUCUUUCUCCACCCUCAAUUUCUUCUUCACCAACAUCAUCCACCACUACUUCAUCACCUUCAGGAAUCUGUACACCAUUACUACCAAACUGGGUAGAGAGAUUUGAGAUACCAUGGCAGAGGCUCCCUGAGGAGUUGGUACAGAUGACGACAACAACACAGACGAAAUACCAGCUGAACAAAAAGCAAGGGUUCAAGACACAUGGCUGUAUUAGCUGGGAGCCAAAGCAUUUGCCACUCUGAGACUGUGGAGAGUCAGCUUGAAAAAAAAAGAAGAAAUGAAGAAGCUGUUUAAAAAGAAUAACUACAAUACAGAUGUUGUGAAAGAACUAGUCAAGUGCACCUAUUACACGCAGUGUAAAGACAUCAACAAAGGGGCAAGCAUCCAGAAACUAUGCCAGGAAUACUAUGCCAAAAAUAACUAUUUGCUCGGGCAGAUGCAGAAGGAGCAGAAGGACACCCUGAAUGAGUCCUCACAAAAACCCCAUCCAUGAAAUAAUACCCUGCGGCUCGUGCUCUCGCCACGACGCUUUUAGAGUCAAAACAUUACUUCACGCGCAGGUUGCAGCUCGUGAAUUUUGCGCUGAGAGCAGAGUGACAGGACAGGUGCAGGACACCCCUUUGUAGCUGCUGAAGUCUAAUUAAAGAAAACGCAGGUGAAAACAGAAACGCUUCAGUGUACUAAUACAGAGGGCAUAUGAGGAGGCGACAUGAGAAAAAAAUAAAUAAAUCACAGAGUAUCGUUUUAAUUCAAGUGCUUUAUUAGUCUGAAUCAAACCGUGGGCGUGUUGGGCCCUGAUGCACAGUGCGUCUGCUUUUGCCACCAUAUGUACAGAAGCUCAGGCCACCUGAGCCUAUGUGUAUAUGUGUGUGUGUGUGUGUAUAGAUAGAUAGAUAGAUAGAUAGAUAGAUAGAUAGAUAUAUAUAUGAUAGAUAUAGAUAGAGAUCUAUCUAGAUCUAGAUCUAGAUAUAGAUAGAUAUAUAUAUGAUAGAUAUAGAUAGAGAUACAUGUAGCUUUGAGUAAAAUAGAAAAACAGGGUAUAAGAACCAG